GAAGUUGUUAUUCCUCUUGCUAGCUUGGCGCUACCGUGGGGGCGUGGAUGUGUAAUAAGAACGGAUUGAGGUAGAAACCCUUUUUAAAGUCUAUGGCUAGACAUUGACAACGUGAGAGACCAACUGUAGGGACAAAUUCGGCAGACGUUGGUCCAAAGUAAAUUUGGUACAUUUUGUCGUUGUUUUGUCUUCCGCUGAGCCCUGGUGCGUAGCCCUGCUGGGCUUUGCAGAACGAAGAUCGGUCUGUGUGUCCACUGUGUGCAGGCAGUGUUUCAGUACAAGCCGCCUCCUAGGGUCAAGGCCCGGGACACAGCUCCAGCUACGCUCGGUGCUAUAUCGACAACACACAAAGAACAGCGAGCUGGCCCAAAACUCACCUGGAGAAAGCGGUGCGGAGUGUCUGACGCCAGGCUGUGGUACAAUGAACUACUGAUAUAGUUUAUGAUGCAAAACAUGUCCACCAAUAUGUGAUGCUUUUCUAUCAAUGUCACCAGCUCACUGUCAAAACCCAUGCCCAGUGUGAUGCUGACACUCAUCUUUGGCUUUCUUAUUGUCAAUAUAAGAAGUAGGCCUAUCCUUUUUUGCGUAUAAUGAAAUAACACAGAAACUAACACAAGGUGUGGCUCCUCAAAAUCAUAUAUACAUGUUUAAUAAAGAGAUUUGACUUGGCACUAAUUUAUCUGUCAGUUAAACUGGGAAAUACACUGUCUGGACAAUUAAAUCCCUUCCUGAUUUAUAUCCGAUCUCCCAAUUUGAAGAUGAGAAGUUUGAAGAAGCAAGUAUUCUAUCAGAGUUCUGCUGUCAACCGAACUUGGUGGACUCUGCUAAACCAGUGCUGCGGAAGGUCAUCCAGAUUUCUGCAGACUGCUUUUUCAGCUGGCACAACUACAUGCACUGGAGAAGGACUUGAUAUCUGCCUGUGAUCUCCUCUGAGUCGGAGCAGAGUAUGCAAGAGUCAUGUGCUUAGAGUAGACAAGAGCUCUGUUUUUACUAAGUAAAGGAAUGCUGUACAGCCUUCUAGAGAGGAUUAAUCCUGAUCACAACUUUCCUGUCAGGACCACAUCGCAGCCUGCAGCCUCCCUGAACACCACCUCAUCCGUUGGACAGACGGUUUCCGCCUCAGAAUGGCCCUGCUACCAGCCUGGCCAGCCUGCUCUGAGAUCAAAACCCCACCCUGUCUGGGAAAAGGAGACACAGAAGAGCAAUUGCUGGGAAAAUGACAUAAAAAAGAUGAACUGAAAACAGGUGAAGCAGCUGAUAAAAGGGUGAGAAGAAGAUGGGGCAUUAUAAUGAAAUUGUGUCAUUUGGCAGGCUUUCAUUCAGGGCAUUCCUUCACCUAUUUGGGGCACUGGGCCAUGACUGGAAUGUAAGAAAUCUAAGUUUGUUUUGGAAAGCAAAAGCAUAAUUUAUUGAACUGAAACACUUUGAAUUGGUUCUAAUAGUUUGUUCUACUAGACCAAAAACAAGUUCUUAAAGAAGAUGAAUACAACUUUCAUACGUGUAUGUAUUGUAAGUAUAAAACUAGCUUAGCUUACUUGGCACAAAGACUGGAAACAGGGACUCCACAGGGAACCUUUAAGUUCAGCUGAUUUGUCCCACUCAUUUAGCUUAUGUGUUCACUCUUUCUUUCUCGACCAUCAUGGAGGUACUGUUAUUUUGGAUGACAUGAAAUAGAAAUGUUCAGAGAACAUUAAAGAUUAAAUAAUCUUAAAUUACUGUUGAAUUUAAACCAUCCAUUGGCCAAAUGUCAAAUGUGACUCAGUGUAUUCUUGCACAUGAACUCAAUAUCUGUCACUGUUUGGCUAUAUUCUGACACACAGUAUUAGUUAGGAUACAUUUGGAUAUACAGUAUACUAUAUAUCUGUAAUGAUCUUAAUGUAGCAUAGUGGUAUGUUCGGUAUGUACUUGGCAGCUGCAUGUAGUUUAUUAACUGAAGAGGAACAAAUAUGAGCAUUCAUGAGAUUAAAGACAAUUUAAGAUUAUAUUAGAUUUUGCUAGACCCUGGAACCAGUUGACCAUUUAAUAGUCAGGCAUUUAAGCAUUUAUUAAUGUUUUGAAGGCAUUGAAAGUGUACUUUAAAUGUGUUUUGAGACGUUGAUGCAUCAAAAAAGUAUUUGGAUAAUUUUUGGACACUGCAAUUCAGUUGACUUGCUGCCUGACCUUUGGAUUUUUGCCCUUUCACUCUCACUGGGGUGGUGUAUGUUUAUAUGCUGUGCACAUUUUGUGUGGAGUCAAGAAACCAGUAAUAAUUAGAUGUAUGAUAUAUGUGUUUUAUGAUGAAACAUAUAUUUUUUUAAUCUUUUUGGAAUCAUUUUUUUUCUCAUUGUUUUACUCAUGUCUUCCAGAUGAUGGCGGUAUAAAUCUGUAUUUAAAUACCUUAUUUAUUUAAUGUUACUUUUCACUAUACCAGAUGCAGUUGUUGUUGUUUGCUGAUUACCGUUUGAUUUAUUAUCAAAUAACUGGUAGGACUGUCGAUUCAGUCCCACUAAUGUAGGAAUGGUGUAUUUUUAGUUUUCUCUAUGAAGACAUUUAUUUUACAGAUUUGUGCGCUGGUAGUUUCAAAAUAAACUGCUGAGUUUGGUAUUUUGCAAAGUAAUUACUGCAAUAAAACCUAUGUUAUGGAUACCA